UACGAAGGGAGCUAGCGUUGUUCGGAAUCACUGGGCGUAAAGCGCACGUAGGCGGAUGUGUCAGUCAGGGGUGAAAUCCCGGAGCUCAACUUCGGAACUGCCUUUGAUACAGCACGUCUUGAGUCCGAUAGAGGUGGGUGGAAUUCCCGGUGUAGCGGUGAAAUGCGCAGAUAUCUGGAGGAACACCGGUGGCGAAGGCGGCAUCCUGGACCAACACUGACGCUGAGGAGCGAAAGCCAGGGGAGCAAACGGG
rnacentral:rRNA from 1 species